rnacentral:rRNA from 1 species
UACGAAGGGGGCUAGCGUUGUUCGGAAUUACUGGGCGUAAAGCGCACGUAGGCGGAUCGAUCAGUCAGGGGUGAAAUCCCAGAGCUCAACUCUGGAACUGCCUUUGAUACUGUCGGUCUAGAGUAUGGAAGAGGUGAGUGGAAUUCCGAGUGUAGAGGUGAAGUUCGUAGAUAUUCGGAGGAACACCAGUGGCGAAGGCGGCUCACUGGUCCAUUACUGACGCUGAGGUGCGAAAGCGUGGGGAGCAAACAGG